ACACGCACGCACUGUUUCUCUUCUCGAUCGAGACCUCGGCCGCAUGGCCGCACGCGCUGCUCGUCAUCACGCACCGCCGCCGCAGGACGCUGCCUCCUCCGACCGCCGCCGCCUAGGUCGCCGUCGCGUAGAUCGCCCAUAUCCUCGCUCGCCAAUCGCCUCCACUCGCUGCCAACGACCCUGCGGCAUCGGUUGCCUGUCUUCCCCGCUCCCGUCACGAGCUGCCGCUGCCUUCAUUGAGAUCUCCUCCGCCAUCCUCUCCUCCUCGUGACCGAUCGAGGGGUUGUCCUCGCUGAGGCCGCCGCCGCACAAGGAGAGGCCGGUUGUCUAAGGCUCCAAGCUCAUGGAUCCGCGCACUUCAUUCCUCUCCCGUCCCCGUGCAACAACUUCUGCCAUCCCCAACGAAUCGGCUAAAUCUGGUGCAACAUAUGUCGUGAUGGUGUCACGGUAGAUGUCAUGAGAUGACUUAUCUUGGGGCCACUGGACGAAGGAGGAUCCGGAGGAGGGAGGACGUGAAGGGAAACACGCACGAAUACACAAGCACACACAGAUUUACCUAUGUUCGGAACCCUCUUGCCGAGAAGUUCACCCUUCAGCGCAACGAAGACGGGAAGUCUCCGGAUAAACGCUUUGGGAGACAACGCACGACCAUCGACCAUGAAGAUCCGGACUCAGAGGAUCACAUGCCGAUCGCCCAUGCCGGACCCCGUCGCACCGAUGUCGACUCGGAUGAGCCCGCCGCUGCUGAGGCGUCGGCUCCAGCUGCUGCUGAGGCGCCGGGCCCGGCUACCGCUGCGGCGCCGGCCUGUGAGAAACGUAUCGCCGAGAAGGAUCUUCCGCGAACUAUGAAGCGGAAGAAUACGCCUGUCGCGGACCCAAGCCGAAGCCCAAGACCGUUGGGGCGGCUCUGACGGCCACACAAUCUGAGACGUGCAUUGCGUCUGAGAUCCCGACGGCUCCAUCUCCCCGUACCGAGCCUACAAUUCAGGCUACGGGUGUUACCGAGACUGCUGCGGAUCCGACAUCUCCCGUCCGGGAUGUCGGCCCGAGCAUCGAUGCUACGAGCGUCGCCCAAGCCGGGACAUCCACAGCCGGGACCUCGGCAGUCGGGGCUGCUCCUUCCUCGACGGCAACCGAGACACAAACGGAGCCGUUCGUCACGGAGACCCCGCAGCAGUCGGCAACGGGGCCCCAAGAACCCCAAGAACCACAGACAACUCCGACACCGCCACCAUCAUCACCGCAGCCACAAGUUUCCCAACUUGCAGCUGCCCAAGCCAAGAAAACUAGGAGCUCCGCUAUCCCGGCGGGCCAGGCGCCUCCAAGUUCCUCGAGCUCACAGCCUGCCUGGAGCACCCAGGGAGUUCCCCUCAGGACGACCAACGGCAUAACUGGGGAUCACUGGGCCAGUUCGUAAUGGACUGGAACAGUCCCGAUAGUUAUGAGGUGAACUCCAGCAUCCUCCGGACGGUGUGGCAAAGCUCUCUGGUGGGACCCGUGCCUGCGGCGACUCCAGAGUCCGUGGCAGCCCGGAUGUUCCAGGCAAGGGUCGCCUUAUUCAAGUCUAGCCGAGCUGCAGAGACCUGCAUGAAUAAGCGCACCGCCACCUUCAAGAUUUUGCUAUCGAAGUACAAGAAGCUGGAGGCGGAGCACAAGGCUUUGGUAGCCGAUCGCCAGAGCCAGAUUAACCGGGGACAAUGCUCAAAUAUCUGAGCUCUUGAAGCGCGUUGCUGAAGUUCAAGAUGAUUCGGAGUGUGAUUGUACUGAGCGUCGUGAAGAAGAAGUUUGUAUCAACACAGGCCAAGGCAAGUGAUACCUUUGAUCAUCUAGAAUCCUAUAUUUUUGCAUAUGCUACUUUGUUCUACAAAUUAUAAGAAUGCAUGUGUAGGUCUUAUUCUCUAUAAAGUAUUUUCAAAAUGCGUUUGCAAUCUAUUAGUUAUGACCUAUGUAGUAUGCCUACAGGUUGUUUGUCAUGCCACCAAUUACCCUAAGCUAUUACUUGUAAGAUUUUACGAAGUGGUUGCUGCAUUAUUGUACCGGGAGGGACCCAAAACUAUCGAAGUAUUAAGUGCUCAUUUGAGCCGGCAUAUGUUUGGCAAUAAUAUUUUCGAAAUAAAACCCAAAAAUGUUUUUCACUGGGCGGAGUGGUAUGUCUGAGACCAUUUUUGGUUGUUGACAAGGGCAGCAUCCAGUUCGGCUCUGCAGCUGCUCAGGAAUUCGGUGGGGACCGCCGUCCAGUAUCAAAAAGUUCAAGUCUUUUCCAAUGGAACCCAAAAGCUUACCUGUACAACCACCUGCUAUUAUGGCUCUGGCUUAGUCGAGUAAGUAGCGGAAAACCCUUACUUUGGUAUCGUCAUCCGGAGAGGGGCCAAUGUGCUCAUAUGGGGCGGCCGGUGCCAGGAUUAAGUAUAGGGGGCUUCUAGUGAAAGACUUCAUCACAAUCUUUACCUGUUACGCACGCUUGUCGUUAGGCAACACUUUGGACUGAUUGUGUCUGGUGGGUAAAGUGUACAAACCUCUGCAGAGUGUCAAUCUAAUCGAUUAGCCAUGCCUCUGGUUACGGGCGAAUUGAGCUACUAAGUCUGGUCAAGAGGAGAUCUUCUAGUUUUGUUUUGAAAAACCAAAAACUAUUUUGACUCGAUGGUAUCCACAGAAUGAGUUUCUACUCGAUGGAAGUAUCCAUAGAAUGAGUCAGGGUUACUAUGUGAGCGUCCGUUUGGCCCAUAAUGCAUAGUAAGGGAAAGCUUUGUGAGUCAUCGAAGCACUGAUGGCAGAUCACAGAGUUAGGUCUUGUGGUGCAGAUUCCACUUGAUAUACUAGUUUUCAAAAACUAUUUCCUACAAAAUUCUAGAGUUAGAGUUUUCCAAAGAAAAAGUAUUAUGAUUAUUUCAAAAUCCAAAACUGGCUUUUUGCAAAAGAAAUCGUAGAAGCCUAUUUAGGACUUAUCCUUAAGCAGGUACUUGCAUUUCUCCUAACCACACAGGUAUCUACUUGCAAGUACAUUCAAUGCACUGACCUGCACCUAUCAUGUGCAGAUGUUGACGUAUGAAGAAAGGUUACGCAGGGUCGCCGGUCUAUACUCAACAAGCCUGUGGCGUUGAUGGACUCAUUGGUGUUCAAUUUGAUUUUCCGCUGUGUAACAAAAUAUGUACUCUGGAUUAUUGGUUAUAGUUAAUAAAAGACAUGUGUUUUUGGUAUUUCAUCUUGGACUGUGUGUACUAGCUAUUGGGGACUAGUACAGAAUACACAGAGAUUCCGGAUCCUUACGGGUCUGUGUGUACUAGCUAUCUUACCGUCACUUUCGUUCUUCAUCAGGACGAUCCCAUGAGGAGAAACGCCACCACCAGCACAAGGAUCAGUGCCAGCACCACCAUCAUGGGAGUCAGCAUUGUGGAAGCAACCAUGGAGGUAAUGGCAGCAGCAACAGCAGUGGACACCGUCAGCACCGCAGUGGAUCAACCUCAGAGAAGAAGGACUUGAGUCAAGUGGAAUGCUAUCAUUGCCACAAAUUGGGACACUGCUCAACACAGUGUCCGGAGAAGCAGCAAAGCAACAAGAACCAGGGAGACAAGAGGCCUAACGCCUUUGUGAAGGCCAAGCUGAACCAUGUUUCAGCAGAAGAGGCUUAUGAAUCACCGGACGUCGUAGUUGGUUAAUUCGCAAAUGAAGUAGUAACAAUGGAGAUUCACAGACUGGACAAGAAAAGCCAACCAAGAGAAGAAGAACUUCCAAUCCGACUACAAGGAAAUCAAGUUCGAAAAAGGACUCACAAGCUAAUGCCUCCAUGGAGAAUGCACUAGUUGCAGCAACGUAAUUGAGAGUGACAGUGGAAUAUUUUGAUAUUGUAGUUGAUCUGGGUUGUUUCUGCUGGUAGCAGUCUUUUGAUGUUGUAGUAGCUGUAAUCUGAAUGAUGGGCAGAGUGAACUGCUGAAUCUGUUUGGGAUGCAACUCUGGUACUUUAGAACUGUUGAAAAUACAAUUAUGGAUGAUAAUGCACUGUUGGGGCACACUAUUUGAAUACUGGUAUAUGUGAUAUUUUGGGGGCAGUUUACUGAAGUGCA